UCAUUAUUGAAUAAACCUGAUGUGAUUGUUAGCUGGCUUUUCGAAGCAUGUGCUCAUCCGUCAUCUUUAUCUCUCCACCUGUGCACAUUUUGUAGUCUUGGAUACCUCUCGAGGAAACUCGGAUUUUAGAAUCGCUGUGCUGUACAAGUCGGCUUUUCUUUCAUUUCCAAGACUAUGUUUUUAUAUACACCAAAGUAUGUUUAUAGAAUGUCAUCAAUGGGAACUUGUUUCCUAUAAAAUUAUACAACUUUCAGCAACGGAUCUCUUGGCUCUCGCAUCGAUGAAGAACGCAGCGAAAUGCGAUAAGUAAUGUGAAUUGCAGAAUUCAGUGAAUCAUCGAAUCUUUGAACGCACCUUGCGCUCCUUGGUAUUCCGAGGAGCAUGCCUGUUUGAGUGUCAUUAAAUUCUCAACCUUCCAACUUUUAUUAGCUUGGUUAGGCUUGGAUGUGGGGGUUGCGGGCUUCAUUAAUGAGGUCNGCUCUCCUUAAAUGCAUUAGCGGAACUUUUGUGGACCGUCUAUUGGUGUGAUAAUUAUCUACGCCGUGGAUGUGAAGCAGCUUUAUGAAGUUCUGCUUCUAACCGUCCAUUGACUUGGACAAUUUUGAUAAUUUGACCUCAAAUCAGGUAGGACUACCCGCUGAACUUAAGCAUAUCAAUAAGCGGAGGAAAAGAAACUAACAAGGAUUCCCCUAGUAACUGCGAGUGAAGCGGGAAAAGCUCAAAUUUAAAAUCUGGCAGUCUUUGGCUGUCCGAGUUGUAAUCUAGAGAAG
rnacentral:rRNA from 1 species